GAUGAACGCUGGCGGCGUGCUUAACACAUGCAAGUCGAACGGCAAGGCUCCUGUUUGAAGGGGUAUUCGAGCGGCGAACGGGCGAGUAACACGCGGGUGAUCUGCCUUGCAUUUCGGGAUAAGCCUGGCAAACUGGGCCUAAUUCCGGCUCGGUAGAUGGAUUGGAUGGCAUUGUGGUAUGUUUUACGGUGCGGGGUGGGCUCGCGGCCUAUCAGCUUGUUGGUGGGGUAAUGGCCUAACAAGGCGUCGACGGGUAGCCGGCCUGAGAGGGUGGACGGCCACAUUGGGACUGAGAUACGGCCCAGACUCCUACGGGAGGCAGCAGAGGGGAAUAUAGCACAAUGGGCGCAAGCCUGAUGCAGCAACGCCGCGUGGGGGAUGACGGCCUUCGGGUUGUAGACUCCUUUCGCGAGGGACGAAGCGCAAGUGACGGUACCUGGAGAAGAAGCACCGGCUAACUACGUG
rnacentral:rRNA from 1 species